rnacentral:snRNA from 11 species
AGAUGUGAGGGUGAUUUGAAUGCGACAUCUGUCACCCCAUUGAUUGCCAGGGUUGAUUCAGCUGACCUGUCUGGCUAGGCGGGUGUCCCCUCCCUCCCUCCCCACUCCAUGUGUGUCCCUCCUGAAGCUGCGUGCUCGAUGGAAGAGGAUGACGUCCCAGGUAUAGGAGUGUACUGAGGUCUGUCCGGGGGGGGGGGGGGGGUUGAAUCAGCUCCGCACCACCCUGAUUUAUUGGUGAUCCAGGCCUCUCACCAAUUCAUUUUCAGUCAGACUGCUUGACUGACCAGAUAAU